CCCAUCUUUACCACACCAUUGUUGUGUUCAACUUAUUAGAGAACAAGUGAAGCUUCACACUUCCGUAAAGUGCGGGAUGGCAAGUUUUUCUAGAGCUCUAAAGCACUCUUGGACGAGGGAGGAAGCUGGUGGAAUGUUUGGUGACUUUGAUUAAAUCUGGUGGAUGGAGAUCAGACAAUUGGAACUUUCGCACUGGGUACUUGGCAAAGUUACAACGUAUGAUGGCUGAUAAGAUACCUGGCUGUAGAAUACAAGGGACCCCCACCAUAGAUUGUAGGGUAAGGAGCCUUAAAAGAACAUACCAAGCUAUAGCAAAAAUGUGAGGAUCGACAUGCAGCAGGUUUGAUUGGAAUGAAGAAUUCCAAUGCAUCGCUACGGAGAAAGAUACAUUUGAUGGUUAGGUGAAGAGCCAUCCUGUAGCAAAAGGGCUCUUGAACAAGUCAUUCCCAUAUUUUGAUGACUUAGCCUGCGUCUUCGCCAAGGACCGGGCAACUGGAGAAGGGGCAGAGACACUUGGUGACAUGGCCGCAAAUGUGCCAAGGCGUAUGCAUAAAGGUGCUCCUAUUGGCAAUUCACAGGAACAAUACUUGUCACAGGAUGAGUUUGAUGGAAUUCUGACUGCACUUGGUUCCGAAUGAGGCAAUUCAUCAAGCGGUAGUAAGAAAAAGCACUAUGGAUAUCAGUCUGAGUUGGUUGAGGUUUUUAAGAAUGCAGUGGACUUUGCAAAUGACUAACUGAUGUCCAUUGCAAAAUGGCCGAAAGAGCAGCGUGCAACAGAGGUUGAGCUACGUGCCGAGGUCGUGAAUGAACUUAAUGAUAUUCCAAAAUUGCAAACCCGACAGAAGGUGAAGCUUAUGAAUAUCAUAUUCUGCAAUGUGCAUGAUACGGAGAGUUUUUUGUCUAUUCCAACGAAUAUGAAAUUGGAGUAUUGCGAGCUUCUUCUUUUAGACUACGCCUGACCAACUAUUUUCAUCACCUGCUUUUCUAUGUUUAAUUUGGACAUAUCUAAAUUAUGGCUUGUACUUUAUAAUAGAUUUUAUGUUUCACUCCAUACUAUUUCAUGGACGUGAAUGUGAUUUGGUUUUUCUUUUUUUUUUUUUUUUUUGUUGUUGUUUGUGAAAUUUCUCUAUCUCUACAUACAUUAAUGUG